UAAGGAAUAUUGGUCAAUGGACGCAAGUCUGAACCAGCCAUGCCGCGUGGAGGAUUAAGGCCCUCUGGGUUGUAAACUCCUUUUAUCUGGGAAGAAAUGUACUUUUUCUUGAGUACUUGACGGUACCAGAGGAAUAAGCACCGGCUAACUCCGUGCCAGCAGCCGCGGUAAUACGGAGGGUGCAAGCGUUAUCCGGAUUCACUGGGUUUAAAGGGUGCGUAGGCGGAUUGGGAAGUCCGUGGUGAAAUCCCCGAGCUUAACUCGGGAACUGCCGUGGAUACUCUCAGUCUUGAAUAUCGUGGAGGUAAGCGGAAUAUGUCAUGUAGCGGUGAAAUGCUUAGAGAUGACAUAGAACACCAAUUGCGAAGGCAGCUUACUACACGGUCAUUGACGCUGAGGCACGAAAGCGUGGGGAUCAAACA
rnacentral:rRNA from 1 species